rnacentral:rRNA from 1 species
UACGGGGGGAGCAAGCGUUGUUCGGAUUUACUGGGCGUAAAGGGCGGGUAGGCGGCCACCGCAAGUCAGUUGUGAAAUCUCUGGGCUUAGCCCAGAAAGGUCAACUGAUACUGCGGGGCUAGAGUGCAGAAGGGGCAACUGGAAUUCUCGGUGUAGCGGUGAAAUGCGUAGAUAUCGAGAGGAACACCCGCGGCGAAGGCGGGUUGCUGGGCUGACACUGACGCUGAACUGCGAAAGCUAGGGGAGCGAACGGG